rnacentral:rRNA from 1 species
AACGAACGCUGGCGGCAGGCUUAACACAUGCAAGUCGAACGGGUGUAGCAAUACAUCAGUGGCAGACGGGUGAGUAACACGUGGGAACCUUCCUAGGGGUACGGAACAACUCAGGGAAACUUGAGCUAAUACCGUAUACGUCCGUGAGGAGAAAGAUUUAUCGCACUUAGACGGGCCCGCGUCGGAUUAGCUAGUUGGUGGGGUAACGGCCUACCAAGGGGACGAUCCGUAGCUGAUCUUAGAGGAUGAUCAGCCACACUGGGACUGAGACACGGCCCAGACUCCUACGGGAGGCAGCAGUGAGGAAUCUUGAACAAUGGGCGCAAGCCUGAUCCAGCCAUGCCGCGUGAGUGAAGAAGGUCUUCGGAUUGUAAAGCUCUUUUGCCAGGGACGAUAAUGACGGUACCUGGAGAAUAAGCCCCGGCAAACUUCGUGCCAGCAGCCGCCGUAA